UACGUAGGUGGCAAGCGUUGUCCGGAUUUACUGGGCGUAAAGGGCUUGUAGGCGGUUUGUUACGUCCGCUGUGAAAACCCAGGGCUUAACCCUGGGCUUGCAGUGGAUACGGGCAGACUAGAGGUAGGUAGGGGAGAAUGGAAUUCCCGGUGUAGCGGUGAAAUGCGCAGAUAUCGGGAGGAACACCGGUGGCGAAGGCGGUUCUCUGGGCCUUACCUGACGCUGAGGAGCGAAAGCGUGGGGAGCGAACAGG
rnacentral:rRNA from 1 species